rnacentral:miRNA from 12 species
AGGACGUGAUUCGGUGUAAACG